rnacentral:misc_RNA from 1 species
CCAGUGGCGUGCUUCGCUUUAGCGGCGUGCAUGGGUGCCCUGCUCUUCGUCGCCUUCUUUUUACGUCUCUCACGGAGUUGUAGCUUGCCAACGCGGACCUUGACCAUUAGUCGGGUCACCCUCUCUCUGUUCUUCCUCUUCCCCCCACCCCACCCAUUGCUGGAAUGGAUGACGGAGCUGAGUGACGCUGACCAGAGAUCCAAGAAAGCGUCGCGUGCCGCUCGCCGUCGCAGAGACAGUGGUGGGCUGCUGUAUGCUUGUGUGUGCGUCGGCGCGUGUAUGUGAGCACUGCCGUCUGCCGUUUAUGCGUCGCAGAGUCCAUUGUGCCCUUCUCCCUGCAAGGGAGGCAAC